GUAAUUGUCUGUGGUCAUGCUAAAAUUAAUUCUGUUUGCAAUAACUUAAUAGAAAAGUAGUGUACUUUCCAGGCCUUCACAGGCAGACCUUCUAAAAUGGAAAUUAAAAUGUGGAGGGAGCAUUCAUGUUCUUUGCAAAUGAGAGAAAAUCUGGCAAGGGAUCAUGGAGAAAAACAGAAAGCUUCGGUUUAGAAGUCUUUCCUAGGCAUCUUUUACCUCAAAGGGUAGGAAAGCUGUGCUUGGUCUUUGAAACAGCUGUGAAACCUUCCGCCAGGUUUACAGUGCUGCUGGCACAGAAAGAGCAGAACAAGCUACGGACACUGGGCAGUCUCCAUCACAAAGAAAACGUGUUUUUCAAAAAGCAUGCAGCAUCUUCCCACAUUGAAAGGCUUGUUUGAGAAAAAGACACUACAAAAAGGCUGCCUUCAGACUGCAAUAAGGUCACCCUGAAGCCUCCUCUUUUCCAGGCUGAACAAUCUAAACUGCCUUCCUCAUAGGAGAAGCACUUCAUCCCUCUAAUCUUCUUGUUGGCCUUCCUCUGGACUUGCUCCAACAGCUGAAUUAUUGAAGAUAAAAUAUUAGGAUAAAUAAAGCCUACAAUGGAGUUCAAACAGAAGAAAUCUGCUCUCAAGAAAUAUGAAGCAUGCAGAAAUGCCUGACAACAUUCCACACCCUUGUAGGACACCAAGACCACACAGGAUGGAGAUCAUAUGUGAAAUUAAAAUGUAUUCUGAAAAAUCAUAAAGGACAGCACUGCAGCCUUCCCACAAAUGCUCCUACCCUCUGAGGGGAAAGGAAGGAAACACAAAACUGAAAACUAGAUAAAGCAAAGCAGAAAGGACAAAUUCAAUUAACCUCUGCCAGAGAAGGCAUAUUUUCCCUGUUCUUUCAUUAUCAGCUACAGCACUUUCAGUGUACAUUGUCAGAACUUCAACACAGGAGAUUUUGGUAGGCAAAAGUCAAGACUUGCAUCUUAUUACCUUGUCAUCUACAAAGCAGAAAGCCAACAGAGUUUACAACAAUGGUAGGAAUAGAAGCAAACAACAUGAUGCAAAGUCUUGACCUGUAAAACAAUUAAACAUUUUUCUUCACUUCAUAUUUAACAUAUAUUACACAUUGCUGACAUAUAUUUCAUAUUGCUCUGUCAUGCAGCAGAAAAGUGUAAUCAGAUUUCACCACAUUUGGAGUAUGGUCAAAUGGAAGCAAAGUGUAGAUAUAAAAAUGACAUUCACCAGCCAAAGUAAAACAACAAAGUAUUCCAGAUAAAUCAUUUUCAUCAGUUGGAGGUUUGUUGCUUCCUAUGAGGUGAGUAAUGAAGUCUAACACAGCAACAAGCACCCUCACUCUCUGAAAAUGGGCCAACAGCAUAAAAUAUAAGCAAGGUCAGAAACAUUUUCUGAGAACAUUAAAUUAAUUGCAUGCUACUAGAUGUAAAGUCAGUAUCAAUCUAUGAAACAUGGUCAAAAGACUGAAUUCUUUUUGCAGUCAUGCAAGUUUUGGUUUCAUGCUGAGGUGUAAUAAUAGGGUUUAUAAAAAAACUUUGAGGUCUGUAAAUUACAUUUAUUAAGAAAAUAAAGUGCCAGGUUUAGAGACUUUUUGAAAUUCUGUUAUUCAGAAUUUGGAUUACAUAUGGAUUACAUCUUAUGAUACACUGUUUCAUAGGAUGUGGCUAUACAAUUUCAAUUUUAAAUAAAAUUUUAAAAGGACAAACAAAACCAAACCAAAACAAACUGACAUUACUGGGCAGUCACUGCCAGAGCUGUGACUGGAGGUGAAUGCCCCUGCUCUGGAAGUACAGCAUCAUUUCAGUGCAUAGUACCAGCAGCAGAUGAUUUUGCCACAGAGCAUUCUGUUGAUUUUGGUGGAGACAAAACUCAGAGUUUGCUUGAAACACAAAACCCCAGCUAGUUUAGAGGAUCUCUGCACUGUGCAACCAGGAAGCCUAUUGUUUCCUUAAGAUCAGCUACUUGCCUUUUAUUGCUGCUCUCACCUUUUCUUGGGAACUUGGGGAGGGCUCAGGGCAUUUUGAAGGAUUCAUCCAAGUGUCUCAGGGGCAGGAAAUAUCUUCAUGUCCACUAACACAGGUUCCUGGAUAUAAGUGAAUUUUCUGAGAAGCAGGGAGUGGGUUUAUCAGGCACAACUCCUCACUUUUGAAGACAUCACAUCAUACACUGAACUUGCAGGGCUGUGGCAUAAAGAGCUGCAUCCUGGGAUUAUUUACUCACUCUAUUAUCAUGUAGGCCAUGGCAGAAGAAGAAAGGUUACAUUACCUCUUGUAUACUGCGCUAGUGAUAUGACCACACUUAGAGCAUUAUAUCCAGGAAUGACCUUCAGAUUUUAGGAAGAAUAUCAAUAAAUUGGAAAAAAAAGAUAAACUCCCAUGAACAUUCAAAGAAUCAUAAUCUUUGUGUUAAGAAGUUAAUUCAAUGUAGUACUUUGCCAAGAAGCAUACAACCUGGAUAUAAAAGACAAAGAAAGCAGAUUUUUAAAUCUAUCUCCUCUGUUUCUCAAAUUAAGAUAUAAUGAGAUGUGUACAAGUUGUAGACUAAAGGUUAAUAAAUUAAAUAUAAAAAAUUUUGCCAUCUUUAUAACAGAGAGCUAAAUUAGCCAUUGGUAUAACUUAAUAGGCAUUGUUUAUCACUAAAAGAGAUCCAAGGCUUGAGGGUUUUUUCCUAGAAGCAAUGACUACUGAACACUGUGCAUCUUCCAGUCAGAUAUCCCCCACAGUUCUAUAGCUUCUGUGCAAAGAAAGUCAGAACAAGAUGACCAUGGUGGUUCUGACAUCUCACCUCAAAGCUCAUGAACUGAAACACCUAAACAGCAAUAAAGAAACAUUUCAAAUUUUGCUGAGGUCUCCAGAAUGAUAUACAAAUGCAUACCAGAAUACAAAACAAUUGUGUCCUUUUCUGUUCCUUUUCCAAAGUGCCUUGUAAACUAUACACUUACAAAGUAAUAGAGGUUCAGUACCUGUGCUCCAGAGUAUUUUUUUUAUUAGAAAUUUCAGUAAAAAGAAGCAAACAAACUACA